rnacentral:rRNA from 1 species
UACAGAGGUCCCAAGCGUUGUUCGGAUUCACUGGGCGUAAAGGGUGCGUAGGUGGCAUGGCCAGUUUGAUGUGAAAGCUCAGGGCUUAACCCUGAAAUGGCAUUGAAUACUGCUGUGCUGGAGGUUUGGAGGGGGGACUGGAAUUCUUGGUGUAGCAGUGAAAUGCGUAGAUAUCAAGAGGAACACCUGAGGUGAAGACGGGUUGCUGGGCCGACACUGACGCUUACAGCGCGAAAGCCAGGGGAGCAAACGGG